UUAUAAUAACUACGUCGACUGCUAUUUAAAACUAACUAUCUGCAAAACUACAACAGAUGUUAGACGUGCCGAAAUAUCAACAGUAAACUCUCUACUAAGUCAGAAAAAUGCCGGCUGUUCUAUUUCAGAUUCCGGGACCUUAACCAUUAGCAGAAACGGAGCUUCGCUAACCAGUCCUCCACACACAACACUGACAGUAUGUGUAGCACUGUUCUAUGUACUUCGUCGGUUGGUCUUCUAGAACGUCUGUAGCGGCCGAAACCAGACCCAGAACAAAGAUGAAUGGAAAGCUUUCCUCCGCCAUCUAUGACCCUUUCGU